rnacentral:rRNA from 1 species
UACGAAGGGGGCUAGCGUUGUUCGGAAUAACUGGGCGUAAAGCGUACGUAGGCGGAUUUUUAAGUUAGAGGUGAAAGCCCGGAGCUCAACUCCAGAACUGCCUUUGAUACUGUUUGUCUUGAGUCCGGGAGAGGUGAGUGGAACUGCUAGUGUAGAGGUGAAAUUCGUAGAUAUUAGCAAGAACACCAGUGGCGAAGGCGGCUCACUGGCCCGGUACUGACGCUGAGGUACGAAAGCGUGGGGAGCAAACAGG